rnacentral:rRNA from 1 species
UACCAGCACCCCGAGUGGUCGGGACGAUUAUUGGGCCUAAAGCAUCCGUAGCCGGUCUUGCAAGUCUUCCGUUAAAUCCACCCGCUUAACGGAUGGGCUGCGGGGGAUACUGCAGAGCUAGGAGGCGGGAGAGGCAAACGGUACUCAGUGGGUAGGGGUAAAAUCCAUUGAUCUACUGAAGACCACCAGUGGCGAAGGCGGUUUGCCAGAACGCGCUCGACGGUGAGGGAUGAAAGCUGGGGGAGCAAACCGG